GUGUUUUACCAGAUUCCUAGUUCAACGGUACUCUCGUGUCAAUAAAGCAAAGUCCACAGACUCCAGGCUGGAGAGGCUGCCCGGGGCAGAUGGAAAAGAGCAAGGGCAGAAUCAUCCUGGGACUCUUACUGCUUCUGCUCAGAUGUGGCAUAAACCAUUUCAGCUGAAAUUCCAUUAACUGAAGCAAGCCACCUGGAGAGAAAUACAGAGCAUGAGCAGGGGAGGG